rnacentral:lncRNA from 1 species
UGGAAAGGGAUUUGAACCCGGAGUCACCAACAUCCUGAAGACCACACAGGGAAGCAAAAUCUAUGUGAAAGGAGUCAAUGAGACGCUUUUGGUGAAUGAGUUGAAGUCCAAAGAAUCUGACAUCAUGACAACAAACGGCGUCAUUCACGUUGUGGACAAACUCCUCUAUCCAGCAGACAUUCCGGUUGGAAAUGAUCAGCUCUUGGAAUUACUGAACAAACUGAUAAAAUACAUCCAAAUUAAGUUCGUUCGUGGCAGCACCUUCAAAGAAAUCCCCAUGACUGUCUAUAGACCUGCAAUGACGAAGAUCCACAUUGAAGGCGAGCCUGACUUCAGGCUGAUUAAAGAAGAACCAGUCAUUAAAAAGUACACCAAAAUCAUAGACGGGGUUCCUGUUGAAAUAACUGAAAAA